GAAACAAUAUGAAAAAAAACCAUACUAUCAUCUUGUUUACAUGUGGAUAAUGUACUCUACAUGCUAUGUGCUUAGAAAUACUUAGGACAUAGUAAAUAACGGUGUCACCUGUUAUUAUACAACUAGACAGUCAAAAUAGUUAAUUUAUCGCAAGGGUUAUCAUAAUGAAGGAAAGGAGGUUGGUUUAAUAAUGCAUAUGGAUAUGGAUAUGAGAAAUGAGAAUUUCCAAACUCAAAAUGGUACACGUGUACAAGUGCAACUCAAAUUAACGCUAACAACUUAAAUUUAAUUAUUUUUAGAACAUUCCUAUGCCCAUGUAAAUAACCUGUAUUGAGUCAGUUAACGCUAGUUCUGCCUAAAAACACUGACUCCCAAAAGAGCCAUACUGGUCUCUGUGUUCAAUUUUCUUAAAAUAGCAAUUUUAUGCUUCAAAGAACGAAGAAGCUACUUGCAAGCAUUAUCAGAAAUUACUGCAAUACUUGUGUUUAGCCAAAAACAGACUGACUGGUGCAUAACCUGUUAUAUUAAGGUAAUAUUAGGAGCUAUAGUAAGAACCAUAAGAGAGUCCUCUCAGACUAGAAAUCAAAGUAUAAAAUAAGCACACCAUUUUCGUAAAAUACCCUGAUUUUCCAUCGAAAGCCCAGAAGAGUUACUAGCGCUGGGUGGUGCGUUCCUCGUACUCAAUGUCCACUCGUUCUCAAACGAAGCAAAGGUUCAACUACGGCAAUGCUUUCUUUCAAAUUGCCUUAAGCACAUAUUAUCAAGUCCUCACUAUUAAACUCAAGUAUUUACAAUCUAUUCAUGAUCUACUUUGGGCACUACACUGUUUUAAUCUACAGUUUGUAUAAAAUGUUACCAUAUUUGGAUGAUAACAAUGUGCGUGGAUUCAUUCAAUGAGAAAAGCAUAAAUUUCAAGGGAAGCAGACAGGUGGCCUCACCGUUGGCAUUUUCAAGCACAAUGAAAAAGAAAUUGGUUUGUUACUAAAAUUAUGGAGCUAGUAUGUAGUACUUAUGUUUGAAAUUCUCCAUAACAAAUGUUUUAAAAGACUGUAUUAUUCUGAAGAGCAAUAAACAAAUAUGAUUAUCUUAAACAGCCGGCUUAGACACGCGCUCGUUAAUAACAUGCUGCUGCUGUAUUACUAGCCUUGUCUUAAAAAUCACAUUCACUUAAAAGAUUUUUGUGUAAAAUUUUUCAUUUAUUUGUUUACUUUCUUACUGUGUGUGUAUGCGUGCAUGCACUUGCACACAAGAGUGCACACAUACGCACAGAUGUGGAGGUGAGAGGCCACUUGCACACAAGAGUGCACACACACGCACAGAUGUGGAGGUGAGAGGCCACUUGCACACAGAGUGCACACAUGUACAGAUGUGGAGGUGAGAGAGGCGCCAGCCUUUGGAGGUUGGUUCUCCCUGCCCAUCAUGUGGGUUCCAGAGUCCAAUUCAGGUCAUCACCUGCUAAGCCAUUUCAACCAGAACCUGAAGUGCUUAUUUUCAAUAAAAUUUAUUUAAAAUAAAUCAUGUAGGAAGAACAUUUGGUUUGGAUUGUUUUUCUAAAGCCAAAAAUCCAGCAACCAAAAAAAUUAGUCUAUAAGUGUAUUUGAUCAGCUUUUUGUUUUGGUUUUGGAUUUUUUUUGUUUGUUUAUUGUUGUUUUUUGCCAAAGGCUAACUAUAAAAUGAGAAAACUUGGUAAUUAGAUUAAAAUAACUAACUUUUAUACUAGCUUAUUAGACACUAGGCAGUGUCUUGACUGUUUUAUACACACACACACACACAAAGUCCACUCCUUGCCCUAGAAACUUGGCAAAGCUCUUCUUGUUUUACAGAGAGAAAGUGAGAAGGCAGUCAGUGACUUGCUCUCAUCACAUAGCACUGGCAAUUCUGAUCUAGCCACCAGCUGUGCUACACUC
ensembl:antisense Gm28988 predicted gene 28988